rnacentral:lncRNA from 1 species
AUGAAGAUAGAAUUGUUCAAAGCAAAUGCUGCUCACAUUUCAUCAAGCCAUACCUCACUGCCCCACUCUCACGUACAGCUGCCCCUCCCACCACCAAAGGCUCUCAGGGACACUAGAGCCACUGCCAAUGGAGUGACUGGUGAGAGCACAAAGCCUGUUGUUCACACCCAUCUGGGUCCAAGAGAAGAGAUGGCCUUCCCCCAGAAGCUGGAUCCCAAUUCUCCCUUCCAUAGAUGCAAGGCCGCCUGUCGGGUGCUUGAGUUGGUGACAAGAGCUCCAGAGUGGCUGUCAGGAAGGCGAUCAUGUGACGGAUCCUCCGCGUAAGCUCCAGCCCUUUCUCCAGGCUCGCCCUCUGACAGUUAUUACUGCUGCAAUAAAUUCUUCAGUAAAACAAACAGGCACGCUGUAAAUUUAUUAGUCCGGGCACUCUGUGUUACUUAACGUAACGGCUAGUCUUAAAUAGGUAACUACUGCAGUAAAUAAACCAGUUUAUUUAGGCACUGUCAGCCCUAAGUGUUCACAGGGGCUUGGAGAAAUGGCAUUGGCCUUUAUAAGCAUGAUAUAUGCCUGCAUAAAUUACAUUUGCCCACUCAGAUAUUUGAUGGCAAGUUACCACCUGGGAAGAGUAUGGUACCUAAAACAUCCCUGUGAACCUCAGAGAGUCUAUGUACAGGAGACAUGGGACCAAAUUGGUGAGUAUAUAUGUAGAUAGAAUUUAUAGAUGUGGUCUCCAUGUGAAACAUACCAGUGCUGCAAACUUAUGUAUUAUGGGAAUGUAUGUAAAGUAGACAGAUUUAUGGUAACAGAGGUAGAAGAAACAGAGAAGUAACAUUUACUGACCCGGGCCCUUCGAAGUCGGUGGCCUGCCCUCACCAUCUUUAUCUCCUCCAACUCUUGUGCAUCUCCAGAUACCAAGUAUAGGCAAAUAUAAAUACUGGACCAAUAUGCCAGAUUCUGAAGUGGGCUCUUUAUAGAAAUGUUUAUUAUCUCAUUCUGGCAGCUAGAAGUCUGAAAUCAAAGUACCGGAAGGGCCAUGCUCCUACUGAGACUAUGGAUAGAAUUUUCUCUGUCUCUCCCAGCUCCUGAUGAUGGCAGGCAGCCCUUGGCAUUCCUUGGCUUGUGGAUGCUUCAAUGACACCUCUGCUUCUGUCUUCAUAUGGUCUUUGCCUCUGUAUCUGUGUCUUCUCUUAUAAGAACACCGGUCAUAUUGGAUCAAGGGCCCAUCCUACUCUGGUGUAAUCUCAUUUUAACUGUAAUUAUAUCUGCAAUGAUCCUAUCAUCACACAAGGUCGCUCUGGGAAGGACAUGAAUUUGGGGCACUGCUGACCAACCCAGUUCAGAUUCCUACCAAGCAUCAAAGUGCUUCAAAGCAC